ACCUCCAAACUUGAACAUUUCUGCAGGAAUACCAUCAGAUCCAGAAACUCUGCAGUGCUUCCCGGCACUGAUUCUCAGCGCUGACUUUGUCAAGGAGCAGGACUGCACUAAUGCUGUAAUUACGAUGUUGGCUGAUCCACUACUCUUAUUAAGGCCUUGUCUGUGAUGUUGGAAGUGUGUUCUAAAGUCUCAAACUUUAAGUGAACUUUGAUUUCAUCUCCAGAGAGAACUUAUGGAACCUGCCCUUUCUCUAAAGGAUACAGGGCGGCUGGAAAACCAUCAGAUCCUAAGAUUGUUGAAGAGACUUUUGAAGUUGGUUGAGUGUUCCUGGAAGAACUGAUGUAUACUGAAAUUGGUGACUGAGACUAGGUUACUCUGUCACUCUGUUUUUGACUGGAGCUGGGGGGAAGCUGUCCAGGAAGUUAUCGCCUCCAGCAGGAAGAUCCAAGCCCAGAGUCUGGUCAUGCUAGUGGGGAGCGGAGAGCCUCGAUGGCAGCCUAAUCCAAGACCCUGGGUGGCAGCCCAGCUUGGAGACGAGACCCCACAACAGCCUGACUGGGGAGCCAGUAGUCAGCUUUCUUGUCCAUUUCAAGGCUCCAGUGGACAAGAAUGACAGCCAACAGCAGAUGUCCCUCAGAAGCACCAUGAGAAAUAAAGCAUUCGAAACAAACAGUGCAUACUAUACAUGGGCCAAAUGCUCACUAGUAGAAUACGGAGAAAAUUUAUUGACCUUAAUGAACUCACUGUGGAUUUAUACCAGUAUGAGAGCAGAAUUUGGUCCAUUGUGUAAGUCAAGCUAGUUCCAGUUUACAGAUGACAAAAAGGCACAAUGACAUUUUCCUGACAUGACGAUUUCUUGCCAAGACUUGU